rnacentral:lncRNA from 1 species
GGAUGUGCCUGCCUCGUGGCUUGCCUGAUUUGCACGGUGACUUGAUUACACGCUCGCAUUCAUGGUCACUUCCGAAGCGCUUUAGUGCCUUCCGUCCCUAAACCGCCAACAACCACGGCGGCUUCCCCCGCGGUUUGUCAGGCAUCUGCAGGUCCCGGAAGGGGCUUCGUCUUACCCGGGAUCCAC